rnacentral:rRNA from 1 species
AAUAUUUCACAAUGGGGGAAACCCUGAUGCACCGACGCCGCGUGAGCGAAGAAGGCCUUCGGGGCGUAAAGCUCUGUUUCGAGGGAAGAUAAUGACGGUACCUCGGGAGGAAGCCCCGGCUAACUACGUGCCAGCAGCCGCGGUAAUACGUAGGGGGCAAGCGUUAUCCGGAAUCACUGGGCGUAAAGGGUGCGUAGGCGGCCAAUAAAGUCAGAGGUGAAAGGCUACGGCUCAACCGGAGUAAGCAUUUGAAACUUAUUGGCUUGAGUGCAGGAGAGGAGAGUGGAAUUCCUAGUGUAGCGGUGAAAUGCGUAGAUAUUAGGAGGAACACCAGUGGCGAAGGCGACUCUCUGGACUGUAACUGACGCUGAGGCACGAAAGCGUGGGGAGCGAAC